CAGCAGCCGCGGUAAUACAGAGGGUGCGAGCGUUAAUCGGAUUUACUGGGCGUAAAGCGUGCGUAGGCGGCUUCUUAAGUCGGAUGUGAAAUCCCUGAGCUUAACUUAGGAAUUGCAUUCGAUACUGGGAAGCUAGAGUAUGGGAGAGGAUGGUAGAAUUCCAGGUGUAGCGGUGAAAUGCGUAGAGAUCUGGAGGAAUACCGAUGGCGAAGGCAGCCAUCUGGCCUAAUACUGACGCUGAGGUACGAAAGCAUGGGGAGCAAACAGGAUUAGAUACCCCCGUAGUCCCUGUCUCUUAUAA
rnacentral:rRNA from 1 species